UUUAAAGUCUAACCUGCCCAAUGAGGAGUUAAAUGGCCGCGGUACUUUGACCGUGCAAAGGUAGCAUAAUCAUUAGUUUUUUAAUUGAAAGCUGGUAUGAAUGGUUGGACGAGAAAGUAACUGUCUCAAUUUAAUUGUUAAUAGAAUUUUAUUUAUAAGUAAAAAAGCUUAUAUAAUUUUAAAAGACGAGAAGACCCUAUAGAAUUUUAUAAUAAUAUAUAUAUAUUAUUAUUAGAAUAAUAAGUUUUAUAUAUAUAAAGUUAUUUUGUUGGGGCGAUAGAAAAAUUAAAUUAACUUUUUUUAAAAAUAAUUCAUUAGUGUAUGUGUUAGUGAUCCGUUUAUUACGAUUAUAAGAUUAAAUUACCUUAGGGAUAACAGCGUAAUUUUUUUUUAGAGUUCUUAUCGAAAAAAGAGUUUGCGACCUCGAUGUUGGAUUAAAAUUAACUUUUGGUGUAGGGGCUAAAAGGUUAGGUCUGUUCGACCUUUAAAAUUUUACAUGAUCUGAGUUUAAACCGGCGUGAGCCAGGUUGGUUUCUAUCUUUAAAAAAAUUAAAUAUCUUAGUACGAAAGGAUUAGGUAUUUAUAAGAUUUAUUAUAUUUUGAAUAUUAAUAA
rnacentral:rRNA from 1 species